rnacentral:rRNA from 1 species
AGUUUGAUCCUGGCUCAGAUUGAACGCUGGCGGCAGGCCUAACACAUGCAAGUCGAGCGGUAGAGAGAAGCUUGCUUCUCUUGAGAGCGGCGGACAGGUGAGUAAUGCCUAGGAAUCUGCCUGGUAGUGGGGGAUAACGCUCGGAAACGGACGCUAAUACCGCAUACGUCCUACGGGAGAAAGCAGGGGACCUUCGGGCCUUGCGCUAUCAGAUGAGCCUAGGUCGGAUUAGCUAGUUGGUGAGGUAAUGGCUCACCAAGGCGACGAUCCGUAACUGGUCUGAGAGGAUGAUCAGUCACACUGGAACUGAGACACGGUCCAGACUCCUACGGGAGGCAGCAGUGGGGAAUAUUGGACAAUGGGCGAAAGCCUGAUCCAGCCAUGCCGCGUGUGUGAAGAAGGCCUUCGGGUUGUAAAGCCCUUUUGUUGGGAAAGAAAAGCAGUCGGUUAAUACCCGAUUGUUCUGACGGUACCCAAAGAAUAAGCACCGGCUAACUUCGUGCCAGCAGCCGCGGUAA